AGUGAACGCUGGCGGUAGGCCUAACACAUGCAAGUCGAACGGCAGCACAGUAAGAGCUUGCUCUUACGGGUGGCGAGUGGCGGACGGGUGAGGAAUACAUCGGAAUCUACUUUUUCGGGGGGGAUAACGUAGGGAAACUUACGCUAAUACCGCAUACGACCUACGGGUGAAAGAAGGGGAUCUUCGGACCUUGCGCGAUUGAAUGAGCCGAUGUCGGAUUAGCUAGUUGGCGGGGUAAAGGCCCACCAAGGCGACGAUCCGUAGCUGGUCUGAGAGGAUGAUCAGCCACACUGGAACUGAGACACGGUCCAGACUCCUACGGGAGGCAGCAGUGGGGAAUAUUGGACAAUGGGCGCAAGCCUGAUCCAGCCAUACCGCGUGGGUGAAGAAGGCCUUCGGGUUGUAAAGCCCUUUUGUUGGGAAAGAAAAGCAGCAGGUUAAUACCCCGCUGUUCUGACGGUACCCAAAGAAUAAGCACCGGCUAACUUCGUG
rnacentral:rRNA from 1 species